UACAGGGGGGGCAAGCGUUGUUCGGAAUUACUGGGCGUAAAGGGCUCGUAGGCGGCCAACUAAGUCCGACGUGAAAUCCCAAAGCUUAACUUUGGAACUGCGUCGGAUACUGGAUGGCUUGAAUUCGGGAGAGGGAUGCAGAAUUCCAGGUGUAGCGGUGAAAUGCGUAGAUAUCGGGAGGAACACCAGUGGCGAAGGCGGCUUCCUGGCCUGUUCUUGACGCUGAGGCGCGAAAGCUAGGGGAGCAAACGGG
rnacentral:rRNA from 1 species